rnacentral:rRNA from 1 species
UACAGAGACUGCAAGCGUUAUUCGGAUUCACUGGGCGUAAAGGGUGCGCAGGUGGUUGUGUGUGUCAGAUGUGAAAUCCCGGAGCCUAACUCCGGAACUGCGUCUGAAACUGCACGACUAGAGCAUUGGGGAGGGUAGUGGAAUUCACGGUGUAGCAGUGAAAUGCGUAGAUAUCGUGAGGAACACCAGAGGCGAAGGCGACUACCUGGACAAUUGCUGACACUCAGGCACGAAAGCAUGGGGAGCAAAAGGG